ncrna:unclassified sequences folP RNA
UACAUGGAGGAAAUGCCAUGCAGCAGAGUUGUUCUGCUUGUCCAAUUGAUGAUUAUUUCCCUGAUUAUCAAUUCGGCUGCGUCUGAAUCAAUACUCCUCAAU